rnacentral:lncRNA from 1 species
UUUUUUUUUUUUUGAAAAGGGAAAAUAACAUUUUCAUAACUUCAACAAAAAUAGUACAUCAAUUAUAGGAGCUAGAACACCAACAGCGGAAUCACAUGGGCCACGGGAGGGUUACAGAAAAAUGUUUCAUUGUCUUGUAACUUUCUUUUUAAUUAAUUAAUUAAAAUAAAUAAUUUUUUUGAAAUAUUCCUUGAUUGGGUGGCAAAUUGUUGUCUGCCGAUUGGGAAAGAGUUAAGAACAAAGUUGUAUUUCGAAAUUAUAAAACCUUAAUAAAACCUGAAAAUAAAUAAAGUUUACUUUUAAUCACAAGAAUAUGAUGUAGAAAGUUAGAAAAUGACUUCCAUUCAAAGAAAGGAAGCCAUUCAUUUUGUUACUAUUAUUUGUUUAAGGGAAAAAGAAAAGAAAAGGAGCCACAAGAAACUGGUGAGCAUUGAACGAAGCAAAAUUAACUGACCACUUACUACUUCAUAUUUAAACUUGGAAGUGGGGGAACUGUAAACAACUCAACAAAUACUCAGCAUCACCAAAUAUUGGAACUGUCAAAGAAGUUCUCUCCGAAACCCGUAAACCAAAACCGAAGCCAAACCCAUACCCAGUUUUUGCUGCUCAUAUGAAACAAGAGUUGUAGCAACAACAAGAACGAGAACAAGAGAAAGAGGCCAAGAUUAGUGAUAGCCCCCGCAAAGUUGAAGCCUUUGCCAAGAAUGCUCAAGAUAAGUAGAACUUGAGCAGCAGCAAUGAGGAGGAAAUCAUGUCUCAAGUGUCCAAGAUUUGCAGCGUCAGCGUCAGCGAGAGCCUCUCAACGAUGACUAAUGUCACUGACAUGAGAGACAUUGAAGAGGGCGAGUAAGAAGUGAGGCAACGACCGAGAGUGAUUACUAGAUCUCCGGCAAAGCCUCCGCCGAGAAACGGCUUCAGAAGAGACCGGGUCGUCAACCAAUCCCCCACCAGGAGAUCCGACCAAUCACCCGCCAGACGAAUUGGCAGCGGGUCCCCAGUUCAGAUCCAUGACUCGGGUCGGGUCAAAUUCCCUGGGGAGAAGGGACCGGGGCGAAUGCUCGAGAGGAGUAACUGGAUGAGAAAGGAUGUGGCUCUUAGGGCUCACUUUGUUUUGUGAAAUUAGAAAUUAGGGGAGCGAAAUCGUGGGCUGCAACGGCGAGACAUGGUGCGGCAUGAAGGAAUCACCGGGAGGGGUGACCGCACGAGAGAGGAUGUGUUGUUAGGGAUUUACUGCAAUAGUUUUCCCCAAAAAAAAUAAUAAGAACCUUAAAAAAAUUUUCGAGUUUUUUUUUUUUGUUUUAAAUGAGAUUUUACGAUUUUAGCCUUGUAUACUGAUGGUAUACAUAACUUUGUGAAACUGUAGGGGAGGGAUGUAAAAAUACAGAGAUACUUUCUAUUAAACUGUUAUUACAUGAAACCUCAGGGGAGGUAUGUAAAAAUAACCCACAUUAAGAUAUAAUAUAUUGAUGUAAUUACAAAAACCUCCCCUAUCAUUAAUAUUCUGUUAUCUUGACAGUUAGUUGAUUGUCGAAAUUUCCAUAAUACCCUUGUCUUCAAAUAUUUAAUGAUUAAAUAAAGAUGGACAGUUGGAUAAUAAAAAUCCCGCCAAAAUCACAAAAUAUGGAGUAAAAAUAUUGACAUUGUAUAGUAAUAAAAAAUGAAAUAACAAUAUUGUCCUUGUAAAUAAAUGGUAAUAUUUUUAGCAGCAACACCUAUAAAUGGAGCCUUUGGCAAGCUCAACAAAUCACCAUAGCACACUUCGUUCUUCUUCUUCUUAAAAAAUCUUAACAUCCUUUUCAAAACUCACCACCCAUUCAACUCAUCAACAAAAUCAUUCAACAAAAUCAAUCUCAAACACUGCCUGAAAGCCACAGAUUCUGAUCUCUAAAAAAAUGAAGCAAAAUUUAGCUUGUGGCUUAUGAUAUCAAUGAGGUUUUUAAGUUUCUAAUACUAUGCUACUUUAUUUCUUAAGAUCCUGUUUGAGAUUGAUGUGCUAUACUUUUUAAGCUACAGCUGCAGUGGAAAAAAAAAAUUAUAACUAUCAAAUGAAAGUUAAUAAUAUGUAUUAAAUAUAAAUUUUAAAUAAUAAUUUUGAUAAAAUUAUUAAAUAUAUAAUAAUUUUUUCAUUAUACAAGUGAAAAAUCAUAACAACAUAGCUUACAAGCAACAGCAGAGUGUUUACCAAACAUUUUAGUGCUACCCAACCUCAAUCUCAAGCCCACCAUAAAUCUAUUUCUGAAUUUCUGCACUAACUAUUUGUGCUAGCCCAUGAUCGAAAAGUCUGCUAUCAUAUAAAUGUGCUUACUCUUAACAACUUAUUAUGUCAAACAAAAAUAAAAUCAUACUGACAACAUGUUGAAUAACAAGCAAGCAUAUGAGCAAAUAAUGUACAGUAGCAAGCACGACAAGCAGAUAAUACACAAUAGCAAGCACAAUAAAAUCACAAGCCUCUACUCAAACUACUCCUUAACUGACACAGAAUAUUCAUUCCAACAACAAAAGCAGCAAAAACCAUAAUAAAAUAAAACACCUCAUUAUAAGGCAAUUUAUAAAUUUAUAAGCAUUCCAGCAGCAAUAAGAGUAUCAAAUGUCAUCAACGGAUGAAUUCCAUCAACCUAUACAAAUCAGCAGUAGCCAAUAUCAAGAGGAGCAGCAACUAUAGUAUCAAUUUGCUAUGAUUAGAACAAACAGAAGGCAUACUUAGCCUGUUCAAGCGUGUGAGUUUCUUAAGUAUCACACAACAACAAAGUAUACAAAAAUAUUCAAACCCACAUCUAUGGCUAUAAGUGAGAAAAAGAUGAUACAACAUCUUCAUCAUUCCUAUGCAUGCUUACACUUAAAGGUUAUGUAUCAUCUGAUCGCUCAAAAAUAUAUUGUUAGAUAAGAAUGGCGUGGCUUCUACUGUCUUCACUCCAUAAUUACAACUUGAUGUUUUGAAUGCUGCUGGAUGCAUUAACUUGCUACUAGUCACUCUUCAGUAAGUUGUCCUUCAUGAUUAAAAUAAACAAGUUAAAAUGUAACACAUGCUUUGUAAAUACAUCAUGAGGAAAACAAACUUAUAAACUAAGUAAAUUAAUUUAUUAAGUGAAUUUAAAACAAACAAUGGAAUACUUAUCAUUUCCAUGAACAUUGUCCUGAGCUAGCAGCAGCACAUCGUUUUUAUAGCCUGAUCUCUCUCCCCUAUCUUACAUGUAGAUAAUUACAUAAUGGAAAAAAUUAUGUUACAACAAGAUUUGAAUUUAUUCUAAAUGGCAACAUUACAUAAUCUGCUCUCAACAGCACGAAAACCCCAUUUGCCCCAACAUAACCAACACAGAAGCAAAUGCUCCCUAUUAUAAGCAAAAUCACACAUCCAUUUCAGCUUUUGCAUUAAAUCAAACAAAAAAUCAUCCUUUUCUCAUUAAAUCAAAGACAUACAAGUCAAUUAGUUUAACAAGCAAUAGAUUCAUACAAGUGACAAAACCCACUUUUUUUUUGGUAAUAUAAAAACCAUAACUUUCUAACAUUAUAAAUUAUGAUUGUUUCAAAACUCAAGAAAUCAGAAGGUAUUACUCAAAGAACAACUUGCAGUAGCAUAUUCAUGAAAUUCAACAAACCCAUUUUGAUAUAUAAUUAACACAGUCACAGCAAAAAAAAAAAAAAAAAAAGCAGCAUCGGCAAUAUGUUUUAAAUCACUGAAUCUUCAAAUGCAAGCUGUGAUUUGAAGAUUGACCUCUUAUUCGCUCCAAUCUCAGUCGUGGCUAACCCUGAUCGACGGCGAAAUUUGCUUCGUGGGAGCCUUGGGCCAUUGCAGAGCUCAUCUCGUUCAUCACUCAAGGUACAAUUGCUUGCGAAGUGUUGAUCUUUGCACCAGCUUCUUCGAUGCUUUCUCCAGAGCAAACAAUUAAAAAUGGUUGUGUUGUGGCCUUGUGGGUUUAGUACCAGAAACGAGGAGCAUAUCAAUCCGGUUGGAUGAAACUUUUAUUUUACUUUUGUCCAAUGGUUAAACAAUUGAGCUGGGUAAUUGAGUA